UACGAAGGGGGCUAGCGUUGUUCGGAAUUACUGGGCGUAAAGGGCGCGUAGGCGGUGUGUCAAGUCAGGCGUGAAAGCCCCGGGCUCAACCUGGGAACAGCGCUUGAGAAUGGCACGCUCGAGUUCGGGAGAGGAUGGUGGAAUUCCCAGUGUAGAGGUGAAAUUCGUAGAUAUUGGGAAGAACACCGAUGGCGAAGGCAGCCAUCUGGACCGACACUGACGCUGAGGCGCGAAAGCGUGGGGAGCAAACAGG
rnacentral:rRNA from 1 species